rnacentral:tRNA from 1 species
UAGACAGAAGCUCGUUGGUUUGAGUACCUAGCUGUUAACUAGGGGUUUAUGGGAUCGAAGCCCAUCUGUCUAG